rnacentral:lncRNA from 1 species
CAACUCUUGGGCUCAAGUGAUCUUCCUACUUUAAUCUCCUGAGGUUCUGGGAUUACAGGUGUGAACCAUCCCAACUUGUCGAUUAUUCUCAAUCUCUCUCAUAACCGCUGAUUUAGGAAGGGACCUUGAGUGCUUAUCUCACCAAUAUCUAGACCUGAAUCUACUGUAGUAGACAGUAGAGCAGUAGUCAGAAGUCUGGGAUCUACUUAGAAUUCUGUGCUUUACACACAGGACCAACAUGGCCAGGUCACUGUGUCUCUCAGAGACUCAGCUUCUCUGUUUGUGAAAGAACAUGUCUGCCUUGAGCAAAGUGGCUGUCAGAACUAGAUGCUCAUGACUGUGCUGACUUUGUGGGUUUACUCCCCCUCUUUUCUCUUUUGCUUAUAGUUUUCUGGUUGCAUUUCUCAACAGCAGAACAUGAUGCAAGAUUUUGUGAGGACAGCCACUUACCACAGAGCCAUCCUCCAGAAUCACAUUGACUUUAGAAACAAGCUGGGUACCUCAAGAGUUUUACCCUGUAUGUACAAGAUGCUGCAAGAGAGAGAAAAACAGGAUCCGUGAGUUUGGGUGUAUGAGACUUUUCAAAACUAGAUCAACAUCUGAAAAGCAAAAUCAGUCAAACCAACAGGUUGGUGCCUGCACAAUGCCAAGAAGUCACUUUGACUCCUUAUUUUCCAUGGCAUUGAUAAACUCUCUUUUACUCUGAACCGUUGGUUUUGCCAUCAUGUAGCCACAGAUUGGUGUCCAAUCUUGCUCUUUUAUCUACUGCCGCUGAGAAAAUGAUAACUGGCUUUGUCACCUGGGUUACUUUUUAAUGAUCUGAAAGACCACAAGGGGCCAGCAUUUCUUUUGUGCAGUUCCUCAUUCACAACCUAAUAGCUAUCUGAAAAGCACUUUCCUGAAAAGAAAAAAAAAGUCUCUCUUCUCAGGCAGAAGGGAUAAUACCGCAUGAUUCUCUGAUUAAACUAUCACACUGCGCAUAUUACGGGGCAUCUGACUUGCUUGAAACUGACUUACUGCUGAAGUUUCUUGGUAUUUGCACUGUUGUUUUUCUGCCAUGAAGCCGUGAAAUGACAGAUGAGUGUCCCUAAACUUUAGUGUGAAUGGCAAGUAAAGUGCCCUAGAAACUGCUGGGGCCCAGCUGUUCCUGAGGCAAUGUUGGAAGGAGAAAUGUGUUUUUCUGUAGGGGAACCCUCUGUGCAAAUGAACUUCAAUCAUGCGUGAAACUAAAGCUGUCACUGCAGGGCACAGUACUGGACCAAAAACACGUUGCACAGUCUUCUCAAUACCCUAGUGGACAGACAGUCUCUGCUAGCACUGACCAAAGUUAGAAGUUAAAGCAGGAAAAUCAUUCUUUCUUCUCCUUAAACUCCUCAAAAAUAUGACAUCUUAAACUUUAAAACCUUCAACUGUAGUGUCUGAUAAAACGAAUUCCUAAGUACUGUGGCAGCUAGCACUUAAAGCAGUGACCUGUACAUUACUGUUUAUAUACCCAUCUG